UAAAUGUCAUGUGUGUCAUUCUAGUACAGAUUAUACAUGUACAAAAUUUCAAAUUUCUAUGAGGCUUGCUCAUAAAAAAUCGACUGUUUUCCUUGCUGAGUUGAAGGCAAUAUGGCUAAACAAAUCUUGUCCGAUUCUUACGCGUAUUUGCACAAUUGCUUUAUGCGAUUGUAUUACAAAAUUAUUGGAUCGAUACUCUUUGAACGCCUACUGAGUUGGCUUAAAAUUUUUCUUACCUAUUUUCUGAUUUGUUGUACAAGCGUCUGGAGCACUCUUAAGCGAUGGCAAAAUUAUUUUGGAUAUUUCUGUUGUUUGUAAAUUAAUCAGUAGAGGAAUGCAAAUCCUCUUGGGCACUGACAUGAUUCCUGACAGUUCUAUACGCGUCUGCAGUCCUCUGAUGCUAUCAUGCUCUACCGCCUUGGCUUAUGUACCACUGGACUGCCUUCUGAUCCAGGCGUGUGGUGCGUCGCUACCUUUACCAGAGCGACCUCGCUGUCUGUCAGAAAAUCUACGGGAUGCCGGAUACCGGUCAAGUCGUCUUAUUUAACGGUUGGCACAAGGCAAGCAGGGUCGUGUGCGACGACUGUCGGAUGAAUCGCGUGGGUAAAUUGAUUGACCAGGCAAAAGUAUGCCUGGAUGUGGUGCUACUGUCUACCGCCAAUGUCAAGUACAUUGACCGCAUAUUGGCGGCACAUAUUCGGGGUGUCACUGUGCGCGUUCUCGCCAGCUACAAAAUGCUCGCGGCUAAUGGGCCAGCGGUGAAGCUACUCUGCGCCUUGAGUGUGCAGGUGCGCUGCUACUCAAUCGGAGUAAUAUUCGGGUACAAUUUUGCUAUAAUAGACAGUGUAAAGCGAGCCCUGGAGAUAGAGGCCAAGCAGGAUACGGUCCACACGUGUCUUUGGCGACUAAGGGGUAACAUGAAAGGGUGUCUAAACUGGAUCCUACUGGCCGCGUUGCAGAAAAGUGAUUAUAGGAAUGACAAUCGCCACUACCAAAAAUUGUUUGAUGAAUGGAACUUCUUAUAUCCUGUCACCCCGUCCUACUUCAUAGCAUAUAAUUUGCCUUCACCGCAGCAUAAAGCAUAGAUCAAAGGGUUAGUUAGUUACGUUUUCACCUCCGCUUCAACCGGCUGACCUACCGCGUGAAUAUCCACAAACACGAACCAUAUAUAU